rnacentral:rRNA from 1 species
UACGAAGGGGGCUAGCGUUGCUCGGAAUCACUGGGCGUAAAGCGCACGUAGGCGGAUUGCUAAGUCAGGGGUGAAACUCGUGGAGCUCAACUCCAGAACUGCCUUUGAUACUGGCGAUCUUGAGUCCGGGAGAGGUGAGUGGAACUGCGAGUGUAGAGGUGAAAUUCGUAGAUAUUCGCAAGAACACCAGUGGCGAAGGUGGCUCACUGGCCCGGUACUGACGCUGAGGUGCGAAAGCGUGGGGAGCAAACAGG